rnacentral:rRNA from 1 species
AACGAACGCUGGCGGCAGGCCUAACACAUGCAAGUCGAGCGCACCCUUCGGGGUGAGCGGCGGGCGGGUGAGUAACGCGUGGGAACGUGCCCUUCUCUGCGGAAUAGCCUCGGGAAACUGAGAGUAAUACCGCAUACGCCCUUUGGGGGAAAGAUUUAUCGGAGAAGGAUCGGCCCGCGUUGGAUUAGGUAGUUGGUGGGGUAAUGGCCCACCAAGCCGACGAUCCAUAGCUGGUUUGAGAGGAUGAUCAGCCACACUGGGACUGAGACACGGCCCAGACUCCUACGGGAGGCAGCAGUGGGGAAUCUUAGACAAUGGGGGCAACCCUGAUCUAGCCAUGCCGCGUGAGUGAUGAAGGCCUUAGGGUUGUAAAGCUCUUUCAGCUGGGAAGAUAAUGACGGUACCAGCAGAAGAAGCCCCGGCUAACUCCGUG